AGUGAACGCUGGCGGUAGGCCUAACACCUGCAAGUCGAACGAGUGGCGGACGGGUGAGUAAUACAUCGGCAUCUACUCUGUCGUGGGGGAUAACGUGGGGAAACUUACGCUAAUCACGCAUACGAUUGAAUUAGCCGAUGUCGGAUUAGCUAGUUGGCGGGGUAAAGGCCCACCAAGGCGACGAUCCGUAGCUGGUCUGAGAGGAUGAUCAGCCACACUGGAACGGAGACACGGUCCAGACUCCUACGGGAGGAAGCAGUGGUGAAUAUGGGACAAUGGGCGAAAGCCUGAUCCAGCCAUACCGCGUGGGGGAAGAAGGCCUUCGGGUUGUAAAGCCCUUUUGUUGGGAAAGCGGUACCCAAAGAAUAAGCACCGGCUAACUUCGUGCCAGCAGCCGCGGUAAUAC
rnacentral:rRNA from 1 species